rnacentral:rRNA from 1 species
UCGGUCUGGCGGCGAGUGGCGAACGGGUGAGUAAUGUAUCGGAACGUGCCUAGUAGCGGGGGAUAACUACUCGAAAGAGUAGCUAAUACCGCAUACGCCCUACGGGGGAAAGGGGGGGAUCGCAAGACCUCUCACUAUUAGAGCGGCCGAUAUCGGAUUAGCUAGUUGGUGAGGUAAAGGCGCACCAAGGCGACGAUCCGUAGCUGGUUUGAGAGGACGACCAGCCACACUGGGACUGAGACACGGCCCAGACUCCUACGGGAGGCAGCAGUGGGGAAUUUUGGACAAUGGGGGAAACCCUGAUCCAGCCAUUCCGCGUGUGCGAUGAAGGCCUUCGGGUUGUAAAGCACUUUUGGCAGGAAAGAAAUCGCAUCAAUUAAUACUUGGUGUGGAUGACGGUACCUGCAGAAUAAGCACCGGCUAACUACGUGCCAGCAGCCGCGGUAAUACGUAGGGUGCAAGCGUUAAUCGGAAUUACUGGGCGUAAAGCGUGCGCAGGCGGUUCGGAAAGAGAGGUGUGAAAUCCCAGGGCUCAACCUUGGAACUGCACUUUUAACUACCGAGCUAGAGUAUGUCAGAGGGGGGUGGAAUUCCGCGUGUAGCAGUGAAAUGCGUAGAUAUGCGGAGGAACACCGAUGGCGAAGCAGCCCCCUGGGAUAAUACUGACGCUCAUGCACGAAAGCGUGGGGAGCAAACAGGA